rnacentral:rRNA from 1 species
UACGUAGGGUGCAAGCGUUGUCCGGAAUUAUUGGGCGUAAAGAGCUCGUAGGCGGUCUGUUGCGUCGGCUGUGAAAACCCGGGGCUCAACCCCGGGCCUGCAGCCGAUACGGGCAGACUAGAGUUCGGCAGGGGAGACUGGAAUUCCUGGUGUAGCGGUGAAAUGCGCAGAUAUCAGGAGAAACACCGGUGGCGAAGGCGGGUCUCUGGGCCGAUACUGACGCUGAGGAGCGAAAGCGUGGGGAGCGAACAGG